GAACUCAGAUGUGGUUCACGGCUUUCUCCCAGGUGAAUCCUUCUCUAAAAACAUGGGUGAUGUUGGCCUCUCCAGUACAGGACACACUCAGAAUUACAAAUCUAAGUGUGAGGUAAGUGUGAGGAGCCACAGAGGAGGAAGAGAAGAGCCAUCAAGGCUACUGUCUGUCUUGCCUCACGGUAAACACAGCUCACUAAAUACCCAGCAAAGGAAGAGUGAUGAACCAACGUGAACAACAGAGUCUCAUGUUCCAAGUUCAUCUAAAAGUUGGGAAUUAGCUUCCCACCAAGGAAACUAUCUGGUCCCCAGUAGGAAGACACACUGGAUCUUCCCUGGGUUUGAGCUGUUGAUCAGGGCUCGGAAUCAGCUAUGUAGCACCCCUGUUGCACCCAGUGCAGACAGCCUUCAGGGUGCUGGUGCUCAGGGGGAGAGCCCACGAUUAUUCAGUUGUGAAAUGACAGUCAUGUGAUUUGCUGGCACUGAGGAACAGACUCCUAACCACAGCCACGUUUCUGCUCCACUGAUGUGUAGGCACAGGAAUGUAGGACCACACUCCUAAUAUUCCCAUGAGCAGAAAGGGCGAGGAUGCCAAGAGAGCUACUCAUUUUAGGGACACAUUCUUACUACCAGAUGGGAGACCUUGCCUUUGUGCUCACGCUAUCUUCAUGACCACUAAACAGAGAGGCAGCAUCCAUCGGCAGCAAGACUAAGAAAGCAGGUCAUGAGACUAGUGAUACUGUGGGUGACCAGCUGUAACCAGUGUGCGCUGGCCAGAUCUAGGGACUACUAACUCAAUCAUGGGGACCUAGGAACACUAGGAAAUUAAGUUCAGACAUUCUUUCUGCUCACAGUAGUGCCCAGCACUACACAGGCAGAAGCCCGGCAGUCUUGACAGACCCUUGGCUCUCACAGGGGCCGUAAUCUUAGCUGUAACAUGUGGUUCUGGAUCACUUACCUUCCCUGAAUACUGUUGUACAUUAGGACCCACAAGGGCCUUACAUAGUGUGCCCCUUCUCCACUUCAAAACUCUGGCCUGGAUUUAAGAAUCAAAUAAAAGCAUUUGCAAAAGGGUACCUUUUAUUCAGAAUAAAGGACCCAUCCUUGAUGUGAAAUAGCCUCUUUGGUGGCCUACACAGAUUUGCAGUCUUCACUCAGGAAUAGAAAUGUUCAUGUUAGAUUUUGCCGAAAGACUAUGGGGCAAAAGCUACAGGAGUCCUCUGUGUCUCUCCAUCUGCCUCUUUCCAGGUACUCUUUCUGUUUUUCUGGAUAUACAGAAAACUUCACUUUUAUUGAAUGAGUAAGUAACAUUAAGCUACAAGUUUACCCAAAGAAUGAAUAAAAUGGAACAGGAACUUGAACAUACAUUAAAAAAGAAAAUGCAUAAUUCUAGAUCCUUUUAAGAGAUACCACACUGGAUUAAGGUUGAUUGCUUGACUUAAUGAUUUCAUUUAGCUCACACUUAUAAUCCCAACCCUCUUAAAGACUGAGUCAGGAGGAUUGCAAGCAGUCAGUUUGAGGCCAGCCUGGGCUACAGACAGGGUUUCACUCUGCCAUACCCUUGUCCCCAAAGAGUGUUAGCAUCUAGCCUAGUCACAUCUUCUCCUGGCUUUGAACUCACAAUCCCCUUGCCUCAGCCUUCCAAAUGCUGGGGAUGGCAGGUGUGCAGCACUAUGGCCAGCUGAACACAGUUAAUUCCGUUAAGACUGUGAAGAGCUGCAUGGAAAUGAGCCCGUCAUCAGUCCAUGGUUGACAUUAUCAGGAAUUCUCAGCACAAAGCAAGAACCUUGCUGUUACUUGCCUUUAAAACUCCUGACUAAGCACAUGGCUAUUAUUUGAAACCAUGUUUUCAAACUCAGAACCAAAUGAGUGUGACUAGGCAUGUGACUGGGCACAUAACUGACUAGACAUGUGACUGACUGGACAUGUGACUGACUGGUCAUGUGACUGUCAUGGGACUGUCGUGUGACUGGGCAUGUGACUGGACAUGUGACUGACUGGUCAUGUAACUGGUCAUGUGACUGACAUGUGAAUGGUCAUGUGACUGGCUGGGCAUGUGACUGGGCAUGUGAUAUGACUGAAUACAGCUUUCAUUAUCUAAAUUCCAGUCAUUACCCAGAACUCAAGAACUAAGCAGAUUCUUGUAAAUCUCAUUUUUAGAAAACCUAAAUACAUCAGUUUCUUCAUCUUGUAUUACAAAGGAUAGCCUACUGAAAAGUGAAUUUAUAAUAUCCCUCUAUCAUAUUUGUCAUGUACAUAUAUACACAUAUGCAUUAUAUACAUACAUGUACAAGUACAUAUACAAAUACACACUUAUACACAUACAUGAUCUACAUAUACACCCAAAUGUGCGUAUACAUGUAAUAUGUUUUCUUGACAUCCUCUAUCCAUCAUUCACUGGUGCCCAGGACAAAGAGUAUCAUCUCAUACAAAAUGACUAGAUCAUCCUCGUUUAUCUGUAGAUCAGGCCUAAUUCUAUCCCAAGGGAGUAUUUGAGGCUGUGGCAUGAUACUCAAGACUCAUUCACGGUCACGAAAGAAGAAAGAACAAACUCCUGGAGGACCAUCUCAUAGUCCCUAGCAUGGAGCAUAGCAAACUGUAUUUAGUGCUUCUUAAACAGUGAGUAUCCCAGUCAGCUGUGUGGCCAGUAAGAGGAUCACCAUGGGUAUGUGUCAAAUAAUAAAUAAAUAAAAGCCACUCGCUGACAUUGGCUCUGAGUACUUGUCAUAGUAUCAAAAUAUAGUGAAUAUUUAUGGAAUAAUGCAAACAUUUUAAUAAAGUGUCAAAGGAUUCUUAGAGCGCUAUUCAUAUACUACCCCUAGAAUCCACAGCUUUCCAAAAUGGUGUGUUUUAUGUUUUUGUUUUUGCAAUUCUCAGUUUUACUGUCGUUUAUUCAGAAUAAAAUCAAUUGAAAUG
rnacentral:lncRNA from 1 species